ensembl:ncRNA C45B2.12 ncRNA
AACUUAUUUUUGAAAAAUAUGCCAGAAUAUUUCUUUAUUCCAAUUUAUGCUUAAACCAGAGAGAAAGUGAAAAAGCACUUGAAACGUUGCGAAAUGACUCCAACGAAUCGACUGGACUUGACGCAAUUGGCCAGAAGCAUCCCCGACGCGCACCGCCACCGCUUAGAAAUGGGGGAGGCUGAACCGUCGACUUGAUAGGCCGCGGCCGGUCGAGAGGACAAUCGGUGACCCAUAUAAGGAGAAACGAUGAACAUUUUGUCUCUUCU